GGAUGAUUUAAGAGACUCCCAGAAAUCUAGAGGUCUGCCCCAAAUACUGAACUCCACAUCCACAUGUUAAAAGAUAUAUGAUGUUUGUGGAUUUGCAACUAAUAAAGGUCUUGAUGACAUAUUCCUUUCCUGUCUUGAACGAAAAGAAAGAUUUAACAGAAGCCCACAAGAUUAUUCCGAGCAGCUAAGGAAAAAUCUGUAUUGGCUCAAAAUACUCAAGUGGAAGAGCCAUGUGACCGG